rnacentral:rRNA from 1 species
CUUUGACCUCAAAUCAGGUAGGACUACCCGCUGAACUUAAGCAUAUCAAUAAGCCGGAGGA